rnacentral:rRNA from 1 species
GAUGAACGCUGGCGGCGUGCCUAAUACAUGCAAGUCGAGCGAACGGACGAGAAGCUUGCUUCUCUGAUGUUAGCGGCGGACGGGUGAGUAACACGUGGAUAACCUACCUAUAAGACUGGGAUAACUUCGGGAAACCGUAUCUAAUACCGUAUAAUAUUUUGAACCGCAUGGUUCAAAAGUGAAAGACGGUCUUGCUGUCACUUAUAGAUGGAUCCGCGCUGCAUUAGCUAGUUGGUAAGGUAACGGCUUACCAAGGCAACGAUGCAUAGCCGAACUGAGAGGGUGAUCGGCCACACUGGAACUGAGACACGGUCCAGACUCCUACGGGAGGCAGCAGUAGGGAAUCUUCCGCAAUGGGCGAAAGCCUGACGGAGCAACGCCGCGUGAGUGAUGAAGGUCUUCGGAUCGUAAAACUCUGUUAUUAGGGAAGAACAUAUGUGUAAGUAACUGUGCACAUCUUGACGGUAACUAAUAAGAAAGCCACGGCUAACUACGUG